GGGGAUGGCUGGGCCCCGGUGGGCCCCUCGGUCUUCAAAACCGCUGGCGGGUCGCUUGCGAGCCGCGGUGGGUUCGACCCCCAUCCAUCCCC
rnacentral:tRNA from 1 species